GAUCCUGUCUCAGGAUGAACGCUAGCUACAGGCUUAACACAUGCAAGUCGAGGGGCAGCAUGGUCUUAGCUUGCUAAGACUGAUGGCGACCGGCGCACGGGUGAGUAACACGUAUCCAACCUGCCGUCUACUCUUGGACAGCCUUCUGAAAGGAAGAUUAAUACAAGAUGGCAUCAUGAGUCCGCAUGUUCACAUCAUUAAGAUUAUCGUGUACGAG
rnacentral:rRNA from 1 species